UUAUAAAGCUGAAAUAAUAGUGGAGUAAUUUAACAUGAUUAUGCGCUUGGAUGAUUGAAAUCAAAAAUGAAAAGUCAGAAAAACUCAUAUACCAUUCAAUCAUUUGUACUGAUUAUCAUUACAUGUUCAUAUUUUUUCAUUAUUGAUAACCUAGCUAGCUAAAAACAAUGCUCUAAAUCUAUAUGGAGUAGAGUAAACAUGAUCUUUUAUACAUAUACUAGGUGAUACCCGCGCCAUGCGCGGAGUGAAUAGAUUAAAUAGAGAUUAUAAUUUUUAAUCUAUAAAUAUUAGAAAGGUAAAAGUUAUAAUCACAAAUAUUUCAUGUUAUAUAAUAAAAGAUUGAAGGACAUUGUGCAUGUUUAUAAAAGAUAAGUUUUGAUUUUUUUUUAACUUGUGUAAUUGGUUAGGUGUAAUUAGAGUAAAUUUUAUGAAAGUAAAUCUAUAAUAAUAAUUUACAACUUGUGUAAUUGGUUAGAUUUUUUAUUUUUUUAUUUUAAACUUGUUUAAUAAUGUUUCUCAAGUAAAUCUCUCAAAUUUCAUGUGUAAUUUUUAAUUAGCCAUGUGAAUUUAAAUAAAUUUAUAGUAACUUUCCUAUAUUAAUCGAAAUCAAAAUGCGUUUGCAUAUAUCAGUUUUCUAUUUUUUGGCUAUUGCAUAAAUUACGGUCAAAUUUAAAUUAGCGAAAGAAAUCAAUUAAAUUAGUAAGUUAUUUUCAUUAAUUUAGCGAUUCGAUUAUUCAAAAGUUAUAUAAUUCAAGUAAAUAAAUAGGGAAUCAAUCGAAGAAUUUAA
rnacentral:lncRNA from 1 species